rfam:Capsicum annuum cultivar Zunla-1 chromosome 3, whole genome shotgun sequence
AUAUAAUAGUGAGGGAAAUCAGGAAUGAACAACUUGAAUCUCUCCCAAGCCUGAUACAGAUUUUGACAAUCCUUUUGUCCGAAGCUCAAGAUGUCACUCCUCAACUU